GAUGAAGAACGCAGCAAAAUGCGAUAAGUAAUGUGAAUUGCAGAAUUCAGUGAAUCAUCGAAUCUUUGAACGCACAUUGCGCCCGCUGGUAUUCCGGCGGGCAUACCUGUUCGAGCGUCAUUUCAACCCUCAAACCCCCGGGUUUGGUGUUGGGGAUCGGCUCUGCCUCACGGCGGUGCCGCCCCCGAAAUACAUUGGCGGUCUCGCUGCAGCCUCCAUUGCGUAGUAGCUAACACCUCGCAACUGGAACGCGGCGCGGCCAUGCCGUAAAACCCCAACUUCUGAAUGUUGACCUCGGAUCAGGUAGGAAUACCCGCUGAACUUAAGCAUAUCAAUAAGCGGAGGA
rnacentral:misc_RNA from 1 species